GGGGCCGUAGUGUAGCUUGGAUACCACUCAAGGCUGGGGGUCUUGCAACCGGGGUUCAAAUCCUCGCGGCCCCA
rnacentral:tRNA from 1 species